AUGAUCUACUCAUCGGAAACUGGAGGGUGGACUUCCAUGCAGAGUCAGUGCAAUGGUGGCCGUACAUAUCAGGUCGGUGAUUUAGAAAGCACCCUCCUAAAUGGCAUUAUGCAUUUCCCUACUCGAUCUUCAUCAAUUGUCACAGUGGACAUGGAAAGGAAUGCUUGGAGGAGAAUUAAAAUGCCACCUGGCUUGCCAAACAACUAUGGCGGUGCUUCCAUUGGGCAGUCACAGGGACGCCUGCAUGUUUGGGAAGAGGAUCAAGAUGGUUGCCAACUCUCUAUUUGGGUUCUUGAGAAUUAUGACAGUGGACAGUGGACCCUAAAGUGUACCAUUAACUGUUUUGAACUGCUUGGAAGGGAUUGUUGCAAAAAUGAUGAGUACUACUCGAUGUUUGCAAUUCAUCCAGAAUGUAAUUUGAUUUUCUUUACUGAUGGAAAUGACAAGAUAUUAUCAUACAACAUGGAUAAUCAGAAAGUCCAUGUUAUCUGCGCUUCUGAAGAUUUCUUCAAAGGUUGA
rnacentral:rRNA from 1 species